GGUGUUCGCGGGCCGUGGUGGACUUCCUGGGCCAUGUACGGCGGCAGGAGAGGAAGCCCGGUGCGAAUCCGGCGCGGUCCCGCCACUGUGACCGGGGUGCCCACCCCGGGAGCCAGGAACUCUCACCGCCGGUCUCGUCGAA
rnacentral:ncRNA from 1 species